rnacentral:rRNA from 1 species
AUUGAACGCUGGCGGCAGGCCUAACACAUGCAAGUCGAACGGUAACAGGAAACAGCUUGCUGUUUCGCUGACGAGUGGCGGACGGGUGAGUAAUGUCUGGGAAACUGCCUGAUGGAGGGGGAUAACUACUGGAAACGGUAGCUAAUACCGCAUAACGUCGCAAGGCCAAAAAGGGGGACCUUCGGGCCUCUUGCCAUCGGAUGUGCCCAGAUGGGAUUAGCUAGUUGGUGGGGGAACGGCUCACCCAGGCGACGAUCCCUAGCUGGUCUGAGAGGAUGACCAGCCACACUGGAACUGAGACACGGUCCAGACUCCUACGGGAGGCAGCAGUGGGGAAUAUUGCACAAUGGGCGCAAGCCUGAUGCAGCCAUGCCGCGUGUAUGAAGAAGGCCUUCGGGUUGUAAAGUACUUUCAGCGGGGAUGAAGGGAGUAAAGUUAAUACCUUGGCGCAUUGACGUUACCCGCAGAAGAAGCACCGGCUAACUCCGUG